UACGUAGGUGGCAAGCGUUGUCCGGAUUUACUGAGCGUAAAGAGCGCGCAGGCGGUCGUUCAAGUCGAGUGUGAAAGCCCCCGGCUCAACUGGGGAGGGUCACGCGAUACUGAUCGACUCGAAGGCAGGAGAGGGUAGUGGAAUUCCCGGUGUAGUGGUGAAAUGCGUAGAUAUCGGGAGGAACACCAGUGGCGAAGGCGACUACCUGGCCUGUUCUUGACGCUGAGGCGCGAAAAGCUAGGGGAGCAAACGGG
rnacentral:rRNA from 1 species